rnacentral:rRNA from 1 species
GACGAACGCUGGCGGCGUGCUUAACACAUGCAAGUCGAGCGGUAAGGCCCUUUCGGGGUACGACGAGCGGCGAACGGGUGAGUAACGCGUGGGAACCUGCCCAGUGGUAGGGGGAGUAACCGCGGGAAACGUGCGGCUAAUACCCUAUGCGCCCUAUGGGGCGAAAGAUUUAUCGCCAUUGGAGGGGCCCGCGUCGGAUUAGGUAGUUGGUGAGGUAACGGCUCACCAAGCCUUCGAUCCGUAGCUGGUCUGAGAGGAUGAUCAGCCACACU